CCUCUCGCUAAAAUCACCCUAAAUGCACCUAAUCUCAGCAGAUCUCGGAAGUUAAGCAAGGUUGGCCCAGGCUAGUACUUGGAUGUGUGACCAUGAGGGGCUUGCCAGGUGUUGUAGGU
rnacentral:rRNA from 1 species